AGUGAACGCUGGCGGUAGGCCUAACACAUGCAAGUCGAACGGCAGCACAGUAAGAGCUUGCUCUUACGGGUGGCGAGUGGCGGACGGGUGAGGAAUACAUCGGAAUCUACUUUUUCGUGGGGGAUAACGUAGGGAAACUUACGCUAAUACCGCAUACGACCUACGGGUGAAAGCAGGGGAUCUUCGGACCUUGCGCGAUUGAAUGAGCCGAUGUCGGAUUAGCUAGUUGGCGGGGUAAAGGCCCACCAAGGCGACGAUCCGUAUCUGGUCUGAGAUGAUGAUCAGCCACACUGGAACUGAGACACGGUCCAAACUCCUACGGGAGGCAGCAGUGGGGAAUAUUGGACAAUGGGCGCAAGCCUGAUCCAACCAUACCGCGUGGGUGAAGAAGGCCUUCGGGUUGUAAAGCCCUUUUGUUGGGAAAGAAAAGCAGCAGGUUAAUACCCCGCUGUUCUGACGGUACCCAAAGAAUAAGCACCGGCUAACUUCGUG
rnacentral:rRNA from 1 species